rnacentral:rRNA from 1 species
ACACGGAUGCUUCCUACGUUUAGUGAAGCGGCAAAAGCUCAAAUUUGAAAUCUGGCGUCUUCGGCGUCCGAGUUGUAAUUUGAAGAAGGCUACUUUGGAGCUGGAGUUUGUCUAAGUUCCUUGGAACAGGACGUCACAGAGGGUGAGAAUCCCGUGAGAUAAGCUUCCCAGUUCUAUGUAAAGUGCUUUCGAAGAGUCGAGUUGUUUGGGAAUGCAGCUCUAAGUGGGUGGUAAAUUCCAUCUAAAGCUAAAUAUUGGCGAGAGACCGAUAGCGAACAAGUACAGUGAUGGAAAGAUGAAAAGAACUUUGAAAAGAGAGUGAAAAAGUACGUGAAAUUGUUGAAAGGGAAGGGCUUGAGAUCAGACAUGGUAUUUUGUAAACCUUCUCUCUCGUGGAGGGGGCCCCUUGCAGUUUACUGGGCCAGCAUCAGUUUGGGCGGUAGGAUAAUGACUAAGGAAUGUGACUUGCCUUCGGGGAAGUGUUAUAGCCUUGGUUGAUACUGCCAGCCUAACUGAGGACCGCGUCUUUGACAAGGAUGUUGGCAUAAUGAUCUUAAGCCACCGUCUUGACA